AAUAUUGGACAAUGGGCGAAAGCCUGAUCCAGCCAUGCCGUUUGUGUUAAUAAUUUAUUAUUAAUNUCAAGUACUUUAAUUUUGUANUAAUGGUUUGAAGCUAAUACCUUCAAUCAUUGACGUUACAAACAGAAUUAUCACAUGCUAACUCUGUGCCAGCAGCCGCGGGAAUACAGAGGGUGCAAGCGUUAAUCUGAAUUACUGGGCGUAAAACUCGCGUAGGUGGUUUGUUAAGUUGGAAGUGAAAGCCCCGGGCUCAAACGGGGAACUGCUUUAACAAAUAACGAGAUAGAGUACGGUAGAGGGUAGUGGAAUUUCCUGUGUAGCGGUGAAAUGCGUAGAUAUAGGAAGGAACAUCAGUGGCGAAGGCGACUACCUGGACUGAUAUUGACACUGAGGUGCGAAAGCGUGGUGAGCAAACAGG
rnacentral:rRNA from 1 species